CCAGAGAAUUUAGCAGAGAUGCUUUAGUGCCUUCGGGAACUCUGAGACAGGUGCUGCAUGGCUGUCGUCAGCUCGUGUUGUGAAAUGGUUGGGUUAAGUCCCGNAACGAGCGCAACCCUUAUCCUUUGUUGCCAGCACGUAAUGGUGGGAACUCAAAGGAGACUGCCGGUGAUAAACCGGAGGAAGGUGGGGAUGACGUCAAGUCAUCAUGGCCCUUACGAGUAGGGCUACACACGUGCUACAAUGGCGCAUACAAAGAGAAGCGACCUCGCGAGAGCAAGCGGACCUCAUAAAGUGCGUCGUAGUCCGGAUUGGAGUCUGCAACUCGACUCCAUGAAGUCGGAAUCGCUAGUAAUCGUAAAUCAGAAUGUUACGGUGAAUACGUUCCCGGGCCUUGUACACACCGCCCGUCACACCAUGGGAGUGGGUUGCAAAAGAAGUAGAUAGCUUAACCUUCGGGAGGGCGUUUACCACUUUGUGAUUCAUGACUGGGGUGAAGUCGUAACAAGGUAAGCGUAGUGCU
rnacentral:rRNA from 1 species